UACGUAGGGUGCAAGCGUUAAUCGGAAUUACUGGGCGUAAAGCGUGCGCAGGCGGCUUUGCAAGACAGAUGUGAAAUCCCCGGGCUCAACCUGGGAACUGCAUUUGUGACUGCAAGGCUAGAGUACGGCAGAGGGGGAUGGAAUUCCGCGUGUAGCAGUGAAAUGCGUAGAUAUGCGGAGGAACACCAAUGGCGAAGGCAAUCCCCUGGGCCUGUACUAACGCUCAUGCACGAAAGCGUGGGGAGCAAACAGG
rnacentral:rRNA from 1 species